UACGUAGGGUGCAAGCGUUAUCCGGAAUUAUUGGGCGUAAAGAGCUCGUAGGCGGUUUGUCGCGUCUGCUGUGAAAACUGGAGGCUCAACCUCCAGCCUGCAGUGGGUACGGGCAGACUAGAGUGCGGUAGGGGAGAUUGGAAUUCCUGGUGUAGCGGUGAAAUGCGCAGAUAUCAGGAGGAACACCGGUGGCGAAGGCGGGUCUCUGGGCCGAUACUGACGCUGAGGAGCGAAAGCGUGGGGAGCGAACAGG
rnacentral:rRNA from 1 species